rnacentral:rRNA from 1 species
CCUACGGGGGACAGCAGUGGGGAAUAUUGGGCAAUGGGCGCAAGCCUGACCCAGCAACGCCGCGUGAAGGAAGAAGGCUUUCGGGUUGUAAACUUCUUUUCUCAGGGACGAAACAAGUGACGGUACCGGAGGAAUAAGCCACGGCUAACUACGUGCCAGCAGCCGCGGUAAUACGUAGGUGGCAAGCGUUAUCCGGAUUUACUGGGUGUAAAGGGCGUGUAGGCGGGAAAGCAAGUCAGAUGUGAAAACCAUGGGCUCAACCUGUGGACUGCAUUUGAAACUGUUUUUCUUGAGUACUGGAGAGGCAGACGGAAUUCCUAGUGUAGCGGUGAAAUGCGUAGAUAUUAGGAGGAACACCAGUGGCGAAGGCGGUCUGCUGGACAGCAACUGACGCUGAGGCGCGAAAGCGUGGGGAGCAAACAGGAUUAGAUACCCCAGUAGUC